GACACAGGUGCUGCAUGGCUGUCGUCAGCUCGUGUCGUGAGAUGUUGGGUUAAGUCCCGCAACGAGCGCAACCCUUGUCCUUAGUUGCCAGCACGUAAUGGUGGGAACUCUAAGGAGACCGCCGGUGACAAACCGGAGGAAGGGGGGGAUGACGUCAAGUCAUCAUGGCCCUUACGGCCAGGGCUACACACGUACUACAAUGGUGGGGACAGAGGGCUGCAAACCGGCGACGGUGAGCCAAUCCCAAAAACCCCAUCUCAGUCCGGAUCGGAGUCUGCAACUCGACUCCGUGAAGUCGGAAUCGCUAGUAAUCGCAGAUCAGCAUUGCUGCGGUGAAUACUUUCCCGGGUCUUGUACACACCG
rnacentral:rRNA from 1 species